AGACGAGGACUCACAGGAGACAAAGAGACAUCACAGACGUUGUCUUCACUCACAGCGAGGACACUCAGCAGAGACGACCUUCAAAGACUCAACAUGCAGAUUAAACUGCGACUGUCAGAGGAAACAAAAAACAAACUGCCGCCCAGCGACAGUCAGAGCGGCCAUUUUGUUUUCAGGUUGUCCGUCCGUCUCAUUCUCGUGGACACGAUGUCUCAGUAACACCUUCAAAGAACUUCUUCAAAUUUGGUACCAACAUUCACCUGGACUCAAGGAUGAACUGAUUAGACUUUUGAGGUCAAAGGUCAAGGAAGUGACCUGAGCUGAUUCCAGAUGAACAGUGAUCCAGCAGCAGGACGAUGGACGCCAGCGGCUGCAUCUGAUUGGCUCCUGACAGUUGACCAACAUUUCUCCAGGGUGAAUCAGACGUGGCUAAUGAGUGUUUAUAAAGCUCAGGUAUAAGAAGAGAGUCACAGAUCUGUGACUGCAGAGCUUCAUCGCUUCAACUGUUAGUUAUGAUACCUGCUCAGUUAACCCUGGGUUUACCUGUCCAGGUACAAACGCAUUUAUGUGAAAGGGGCGGAGUUGUUAAUUAUAAGCAGCAUUGUCUGAACCAUGAAUGAAGUUCUUAAUAUGAUAGGAGAGGAAACGCUGACACCUGCAGGUGAGUUGGGUUAUAACCACGUCCAAUAGUCACAUUCAACAAGGUGACAUGUAAACAAUAUGAUCACAUGACUGGAAUGAAAAAUACAUAUUUCUAAAUAUAACUACUAACUACUAAGUCAGACUAAAGAUAUAUUGUGAAUAAGGUGAAGAAUUAUUAUGAACAAACUUAUGAAGGUGAUGAAGAUAAAACAGUGAACGUUACUGUCACUGCUGCAGAGGAGGGAAAGAAAAG